rnacentral:ncRNA from 1 species
GCAGCGCCCUGUGGAGAAACGCAGCUUCCCGAAGGAAUUCGGGAAUGAAAACGAGGUGAAUUGCUGGAAGCCCUAACGAGAGAGACGAGGGUAAUCAGCAGCCAAGCCCAGCCCCAGUUUUGGUUCAUAGAAAAUUAUGACUCAAAACUGGAGCUGGGAAGGUUCAGAGACUAUCCCGAAAGGGAGUACUGUCCCGAUGUAAUGUCGGAAUGGGAAGCGCCUCGCACCGAGAACCGGUGAUGAUAUAGUCCAUCCCUUUUGGAAACUUAAGG